UAAUGUAAAAUACACUCUUGUGAGUUCACCGAAGCUGGGGGUACUCUGUAAGCAGGGGCAUAGCUAUAGCGGAUACCAGUCCCACCUAAACCCUGGUGCUUGUAGGGACACAUAAGAAUACACAGUAUUAUAACUGUCAUAUGGUAGCUGGAGUUCCUGUUACAAAUUUUGCAUAGGAUUCCAAUAGUAUUUAUUUGAAUACAGGCUUCUAAGAAGAUAUGAGAAGCAAUAACAAGAAUUCUGCUGAUAAUGUGAUGGGAUAUAAAACAGAAAAAUGCAGAAAACUGUGAUAACCCAUACCUCAAAAAUGGCAAAAAUAUCCUAGUCACAAAAUACAUAGUGGCUAGUUUAUUAUGAUUUUAUGCAACAUUUAUAUUCCACAUAUAUUAAUGACUUCAGGUCAUUGGGAGGUAUAAGAAGGUGCUAUGAAAGUAUUUUGUGCAAGAUUUAAAUGUGAACAUGGGCUCCAGAGCAUGCAUAUGAAAACCGACUGCACCUGUUAAUUCUUCAGAGCAGCAGAUGUUUAAAGGAUUGUCGUAGGGUACGACCACACGGUUGUGACGCGGCUGCACUGCAUUCGAGUACCGUGCGUGGUAUUCUGUCACGUGAUAUUAAAGGUGCCACACGGCCAUUAACAAUACAAACCCUCUGAACAGUCUGCAUUUUGUCGCGCAGUACUCAAACGCAGCACGGCUAAGUCACAACCAACUGUGACACGACUGUGCGGUGUGGUCGUACACUUAGCUGAUCCCUGCAGGUCUGGCAGGUGAAACCCCCAGCAAUCACCUGCUGGUGACCGCAUGUUUCUCCUCCAGCAGCCACUGCAGAAGAAAUUUGUUGUUCUGUACUCGCAUUAAUAAAACGUAGCAUCCCACUGAAAACUAUGGGAAGCAGAUUCCACGUGGCCACCCCACCUCUUUUGGCAAAGAAUCCGUGCCAGAUUCUUCCUGCAAAAGAUUCCAAGUCAUAUCUCAUCCUCAAAAUGUUCAGUACAAUACCUGACAUUACAAGUUAUAGGAGUGAGAAAACGGUGACCUAGCAAUGUUUUAAAUAUGUGCUCAUAAUAGGCCACUAAAUAUAUAGAUUAAUAAAUAUAUAAUAAUUAUGUUAUUUUAUUAUAGUGUUAGACAACUUUACAUUUUAGCUGCUGCUAAGUAAAGAAAUUCAGUGGAUAGAUAUCAAAAUAGUACAAAUGCAUAACAAUGAAUUUCUAAUAAUGAGUACCUAACUUUGAAUCCGAAAUAUUCCAAAGCCCAAAGUUCAUCUCAUUAGACAAUGCUCAAAGCACAGCAAAAAAUAUUUCAAAACGAAGGUCAUAAAUAAUAUUCAUCUGGAUAUUGUGAUAAAAUCAUUGGCAAUAAUAAGGCACAGUCUUAGUCAUUUUAAACAGUUGGUUCAGUAAAUCAGAUAUUCAUGUGUAGACAGAAUAUAAUUAAAUUAUUCUGUAUGUAUUUAUUUUUCCCACUAUGCUCUGUCACAUUGUGUAAGGGUUUCAGUUCUAAGAAUUCUAAUCCUCUCAGCUCUCGGCAGUAUUAAUAUUUAGCAUUGUGUGCACUGAGCAGGUUCCCAUAUGAACAAAUACGAACAAGGUUGCCUUCAGAUAUCUGUAGCGUAUUAUACAGACAGAAAACACUUGUUUCCUGUUAUACAAAUUUUAAAG